rnacentral:misc_RNA from 1 species
CUUUUUUCUUCUUUUCACUCUCUUUCUCUUCAGUGCAAAUGAUGACUUCCCCUUCUCCCUGUUUCCCAUCACCCCCUCCCAUUCCCCACCUCUCUUCUUCUUCAUCAUCACCUACAUCUACAACUAUAACAUCAAUGGAAAACUCACUCUAUUACUGUUAAUACAGCUAUUUACUAUUUUUGUAUAAUCACUCACUACUCCAGGAUUUUUCUUUCUUGACUAACUUUCCCCGUACUAACCCAAGCCCACCUCUUGCUCUUUCCCUUCUAUGUUCCAUCCCUAUUCCACAACCGACCUCGCUCCUCUCUUGGCCCAUCCCACCUCAAUUCUAGUUUUUUUUUAAUCCCUUUAUUUUCCUUUUUUCCCCGCUCGAAUACCCAUCAGGCCAUCACUCUGUUCCCAUGUUUUAUUUCGCUGUCUAAAUUAACAUACCUUGUGUUUUGAUCCUCUUAAAUUCCAUGGAUUCUCAGUAUAUUUCUUCUAAUUCUAGUGUUUUUCUUUUAAUAUGUGGCCUAAUCUUAAUGUCUAUUGUGUCGACUUUAGUAUCACUUAAUCCUUUCCAAUUUGAUCACUGCCUUCUUUUUAUACUGGAAUCUUCCUUCUUUUCUACUUCAAUUCCAAUUUCAUAUUUGAACUAGGUUCUCUUUUCUUUUCUUUCUCUCUCUCUCUCUCU